rnacentral:rRNA from 1 species
CACGUAGGGCGCAAGCGUUGUCCGGAAUUAUUGGGCGUAAAGAGCUCGUAGGCGGUCUGUUGCGUCCGCUGUGAAAACUCGGGGCUUAACCCCGAGCCUGCAGUGGAUACGGGCAGACUAGAGGUAGGUAGGGGAGAAUGGAAUUCCCGGUGUAGCGGUGAAAUGCGCAGAUAUCGGAGGAACACCGGUGGCGAAGGCGGUUCUCUGGGCCUUACCUGACGCUGAGGAGCGAAAGCGUGGGAGCGAACAGGAUUAGAU